AGAAUCAACGCUGGCGGCGUGCCUAACACAUGCAAGUCGAACGAGAAAGGGUAGCAAUACCUGAGUAAAGUGGCGCACGGGUGAGUAACACGUGACUAACCUACCCUGGAGUGGGGGAUAACUGAGGGAAACCUUAGCUAAUACCGCAUAAUACCUACGGGUCAAAGGAGCAAUUCGCUUCAGGAGGGGGUCGCGGCCGAUUAGUUAGUUGGCGGGGUAAUGGCCCACCAAGACGAUGAUCGGUAUCCGGCCUGAGAGGGCGCACGGACACACUGGAACUGAAACACGGUCCAGACUCCUACGGGAGGCAGCAGUGGGGAAUUUGCGCAAUGGGGGAAACCCUGACGCAGCAACGCCGCGUGGAGGAUGAAGUCCUUCGGGACGUAAACUCCUUUCGAUCGGGACGAUUAUGACGGUACCGGAAGAAGAAGCCCGGCUAACUUCGCGCCAGCAGCCGC
rnacentral:rRNA from 1 species